rnacentral:lncRNA from 1 species
AAAGAAAGAAAGAAAAAGAAAAAAAAAUCCAAUCCCUGAAAUUUUACAUAGAAAGGUGGACACCUACUCUAAGUAAAAUGGAGUCCAAAUUUGAUGAGGUCAUGAAAGAAGUGCAGAUGAACUAUUGUGGGCUUCCAAAGAAGGGAGAAGCCCUGGGAAGCCUCAGAAAAGUCUAAAUGAAAGAGAUAACAGUAAAGGAAGGCUUUAGAGGGGCUUCAGUGCCCAUUGCUGGGGAUGUCAUUCCUAUAAGAGUCUAUUGAGUGGUGCUUCCUCCAGGGCACAUGAAAUGAAGCAUGAGUAGCGCCCACCUGGAGUGGUAAAACAAAGUGGCCCUGUAAACAAGGGUCUGUCAGCAGAGACAGUAUCAGCUGGUAGAGGUGAGGGAAGUUGGGCAGGGUGGGCAGCAACCCAUGUCGUGGUUAGAGGGGAUUCUGUGAACCUCAGCGCUGGCUGCUGUAUACAGAUGCGCCCAUGUCUCUCCAAAUUCUUAACUAAACUCCCAUGGUCUGCAUCCUCCCUGAAUUGAUAUGGUGCUGGAGAACCACAGAGAGGACAGCAGGUGGGGACCAGCCCUUGUGGAGCCCCUGUCUUUGUACCCAGGAUCGG